UCAAGUGUGUUUUUUCAGCUUCCUGCAGCUGACAUAGAGAUAGUUCUGCUCUUUUGGCAGCUGGCUGCAGUUAACCUGGUGCUUCCGUCCCUCUCACUGAACUGCAGUGCUGUCCUGGGAGAGGAGGAUGGUCAGAGUUAUCAGUGUACAUUGGUACUGUAUUGUCAGCAUCCCGAAUUGAGGAAAAAUGAAGAUAGAAGAGUCUGCACAGUUUGUCAAGUCUAGAACGACUGUUUGGCACUGAGGUUGUUACAGAGACCUCUACCACUUGCCUCACAUGGGCACUCAAACACAGCUGGGGUUCUGGUAGCAGGCCCAGAUCUGUGGUCUCCAGUAGCUGCCCCCAGCACAGCAGUUGGUGUAAACACCCUGGUGUCUCCAUUAUCUGGUCCACACUUGUAACUCAUGCAGUACCUUGUUUCAAUGCUCUUAUCCUGUUUGCCAACUAUGUAGAACGUUUGUUGGUGCUGGCAUGUGCUGAUGUACACACUCAUGCACUAUGUGGAUGUGCUCCAGGCUCCACUUGCUGGCAUCGAAGAUGCAUGGGCCAUGAUGAUAGAUGUCCCCUUCUGUGCCUGUAAGCACUUAUAUAUGUAUGCAUGAGGCACUGAGCACCUGGAGUCCUUUUUUGGCCCUCCAGUACAAGAAAGACCAGGAGAUAGUCUAGAGGAGGACCACCAAGGUGAUGAGGCUGGAGCAUCUCUGCUGUGUGGGGAGACUAAGAGAGCUGGGCCUGCUUAGCCUGGAGGAGGCUCAAGGGUAUCUUAGCAACAUAUAUAAAUACCUGGAGGGUCAGUGCAAUAAAAACUAAGCAAGGCACUUCCAUUGGUGUGCAAUACCAGGACAAGGGGACAGUGGAACAUCGGAGGCUUGCCUUGAACACCAGUCAGUACUUCUGUUCUACGCGGGUGCCUGAACACUGGCACAAAUUGCCCAGAGAGGCUGCGAUCUUGGAGAUCAGCCACCUAGACAUGGUAGUUGGCACACUGCUCUGCAUAUCCCUUCUAGAGCAGGGGUUAGGCCACGUGGAUGCAUAUGGCCUCUCUCACUGUGAGCUAGAGCUAAACAAGAAGAAAGGACAGCAGUGGCGAUUGGCGUCCCAUGAGCCCUGUGCUGUUCUCAGCCAAUGACCACUCUCCUGUCGUUGUCUUGAUCAAACGGUAACUGAAGUAGCUCAUAGCAAAGUUAGUGCGCAGGAGUAGAAGUAUCUUAUUAAUUUUCUUCUUCUAAAUAGGUUUUGAUUCUAGGAUAUACAGUGUCAUAUAGGCUAGACUGUCCCUUAGAACCAGUUCUGAAAUUGAAAAUGUGGAUUGUUUGGUGGUUUUUUUCAGUGAAAUAGUAAGUUUUUGCAAAUGGCUUUGUUGGAAUAUUGGUGUUGUUUUUUUUUUUAACUGUAGAUAUUAUGUUAUCCAUAAGAAAAGGAUGAACAGAGGAGAGCUUUAGCUGUGAAAGCUGCCCAUUUUCUGAUUUUUUUAUUGGGUUCAGUGUCUACCAGCCAUUGGUCACCCCACGAUCAAGACAGGAGAGUUAAAGAAUGAACUUGUGUAAACGAGGCGGAAUUUCUUUUUCAGAUGAAUAAAUAUGGUUCCAAUAAAUGUAUUCUUAUUUCCUUCUUUUCAUAGAGAUUUUCCCCUGGCAAAAUGGAAUAUUUCCAUGGACAGUAUUUGAGACCAAUAAGAAAAAAUAUCACUGUGCAUUCAGAUUCCAGCUUUGAGAAAAGUAUGGAAAUAUUGAGUGAGAACGUAAAUAGAAGACACUUUGGAAGGCAAUUGGCAAAGCCGAAAUCUGACCCCAAAAGAGAAGAAUAUAAGGAAGAUAAGUAUUUGUAACUCAACAGGAUUCUCAUUUGGCCUGGAUUUUGAGGAGGAUGGCACUUGUUCACUUUGUCUAUUUCGCUUGGCCCCAGAACUUUUGGAAUUUACCAGCCAAAAUUAAUAUGUCUCAAAGACUUCCCAAGGGCGCUGAAAACCAGAGCUGAUGCGAUAGCUGCGAAACAAGUCCAUGAAGAAAACUGGGACUUGGAGGUCCGACGAAGCUGUU